GACGAAGGUGGCGAGCGUUGUUCGGAAUCACUGGGCUUAAAGAGCACGUAGGCGGCCUAUCAAGUGCUUUGUGAAAUCCCUCGGCUCAACCGAGGAAUUGCUUGGCAAACUGGCAGGCUUGAGGCAGGUAAGGGCGCGCGGAACUCUUGGUGGAGCGGUGAAAUGCGUAGAUAUCAAGAGGAACGCCGGCGGUGAAGACGGCGCGCUAGGCCUGUCCUGACGCUGAGGUGCGAAAGCCAGGGGAG
rnacentral:rRNA from 1 species